rnacentral:rRNA from 1 species
CGGAAAACUGUGGAUAAUCCCUGAUAGUCCUCGGCUGCUGGAAUGCAUCGAGGACGAAAGCUCCGGCGCCUAAGGAUGGGUCUGCGGCCUAUCAGGUAGUAGUGGGUGUAACGUACCUACUAGCCUACGACGGGUACGGGUUGUGAGAGCAAGAGCCCGGAGAUGGAUUCUGAGACACGAAUCCAGGCCCUACGGGGUGCAGCAGGCGCGAAAACUUUACAAUGCCGGCAACGGCGAUAAGGGGACCUCGAGUGCCAGGUUACAAAUCUGGCUGUCGCGAUGCCUAAAAAGCAUUGCAUAGCAAGGGCCGGGCAAGACCGGUGCCAGCCGCCGCGGUAACA